GGUACAUGGUUGCCGCGCUAGCUGGAUCGUCGUUGCCGCUGGCUGCGACCAAACGUCCACUCCCUCUCAAACCACCUCUUCUACUCUACCUACCAAGACCAACUUACCUAUUACCCCAGCCACCCCUAAUUCAACUAUAACAGACCAACUGACCACUGCUUCGCACACACCGCACGGUAUCCUAGAGACAGGUAACGCACUGACCGCACACCGGUCGCGUUACAAGUCGGCCAACCGGUCAAAAUUUGUAAAGGGAUAUAAAACCAACACAAAUCACGUAGAGAUUUGGAAUGGAACAGAAGUUGAGAACUUUUAAGUGAGAUUUUGUUAAACCCUCCCGCUUUUGAUUAACGGGCGAACGAGUUGAGAUAAAAAGAGAAACAAUAGAAAAAAGACAUUACGAUAAGUACCAAGGGACCCCAAGUUUUACUUACAAAAAGUGGCGUUAAAUACACAACCCUCACACCGUUAAGGAGUUCGCUUUUAUGGUUAAAGGCGGAGUCUAGGUUUAAACUGUACACACAAACUUAUUUUAACGGUACGCAAAUACUUCUUAAACGGUAUUUUUUGUAGCGUUUACUGUACGUGGUAUCUCACUUGCAAGCGAAUGAUAACCCCGGGAAGAAAAUAGGAAUACAACUGUAUUUUGAAUAAUUAAGUUUGGAAUACAAAUAUUGUGUGUAAAAAUCGUUGUGAUAUUUAAGUAAUAAAAUUUAAAAUUAAGUUUGUGUUGUAUACUAGGUUUACUUCAUUAGGUUUAUUUUGUACUACCUUGAUAACGGGUACUUUAAGAGUGUUCACAAGGUGCUCCGGUAGAGCCUCAACGAAUACUCGAACGACCAAGAACUAGAAGGCUACGUUAAACUCUUUAUAUCCACAAAGUAACAUCAGUAAUCACUCAGUAUCAAAAGACAAACCGGAAAUGCUUCCCCAGUACCUAUACCAAACUCCAAAACCUAACCCCCACCCCCACCCCCACCCUAUCUGUACAGUUUAUUCAGUUGAACGUACUUACAUUUCCUCAACUCGACUGUCACGUUUGUAUCUAACUGUACUACUACAAAAUACAAAAAAAAGUACCAAACCUAUCACUGUGAUUACGAAUCUGGGAAGAUUUAUAAUGUGGAUUACCAAAACUCCUAUUUAUAAACCGGAAUAUACACGGACUCCCUUCUUACGUCCGUCCAUUCAAACUCAGCUGGUUUCUAUUUCGGGAAUUUUCCGAUAGACUGAUCUACCUUUCAUACGAAGAACACCUCACUUCCUUAAAGUUUGGUUUAGUCAAUAAGUCGACGAGAACAGAAACGAUACCCUUGAAGAAUUAAAAGCUAAAGCAAUACACUCCUUAAUAGGUUCUAAUAGACUAAAAAAACCACGUCUCUAGUUCUCUUAUUCUCCUCUUGAGUGACCGAACGGACCCUUUUAACUGAUGUGGAUUUCCACUUCCUCCAAUUGUGUCUCAGGGACACUAAACCAAAGUGGGUAAUUUCUACUGGGGAUUUGUAUAUACUUCUGUAACUUCUAUUACGACCAUGCGCUUCUGAAAGCGAACUUCUGUUACUUCGCGCUUGUGUAUCAGAAAACCAUCAAAGUAAAAGAAGAAAGAACACAUAAUUCUUGGUAGCAUAACGAUUCACCCCAGCUCCAAUUACUUCAGUCUUUGACUGCAAUAUGAGUUGGAUUUUAGGAUACAGGAG
rnacentral:rRNA from 1 species